UAAUUGAAGAGGUUUGGAAAGACCCACCACAGAAGGUAAUAGUCCUGUAUGUUAAACGAGAAGACUUUAGAUAUGAUCCAGAGUACCACGGGACACGUGAAACCCUGUGGGAAGCAGGAGGGACCACCCUCCAAGGCUAAAUACUACCUAGUGACCGAUAGCGUAUAGUACCGUGAGGGAAAGGUGAAAAGAACCCCGGGAGGGGAGUGAAAUAGAACCUGAAACCCUGCACUUACAAGCUGUGGAAGCACAUUUCUUGUGUGACCGCGUACUUUUUGUAGAACGGGCCAACGAGUUACGUUAAGUAGCAAGGUUAAGCACUUAAGGUGUGGAGCCGUAGCGAAAGCGAGUUUUAACUGAGCGUUCAGUUACUUGACGUAGACCCGAAACCGGGCGACCUACCCAUGAGCAGGAUGAAGCGAAAGUAAAAUUUCGUGGAGGUCCGAACCCACGAGCGUUGAAAAGCUCGGGGAUGACUUGUGGGUAGCGGUGAAAUUCCAAUCGAGCCCGGAGAUAGCUGGUUCUCCCCGAAAUAGCUUUAGGGCUAGCCUCAAGGUGAGAGAUACGGAGGUAGAGCACUGAAUGUCCUAGGGGGUAUUGCACCUACCGAAGACUAUCAAACUCCGAAUGCCGUCAUCUUAUACUUGGGAGUCAGACUGUGGGUGAUAAGAUUCAUAGUCGAAAGGGCAACAGCCCAGAUCGUCAGCUAAGGUCCCUAAAUGUAAGUUAAGUGGUAAAGGAUGUGGGAUUGCACAGACAACCAGGAUGUUGGCUUAGAAGCAGCCACUCAUUCAAAGAGUGCGUAAUAGCUCACUGGUCGAGUGAUCCUGCGCCGAAGAUUUCCGGGGCUAAAACUUACUACCGAAGCUACGGCAUCAGUAAUGAUGGGUAGGGGAGCUUCCCAUACGGGUUGAAGCAUGACCGUAAGGACAUGUGGACAGUAUGGGAGUGAGAAUGUUGGCAUGAGUAGCGAGAUGUGGGUGAGAAUCCCACAGGCCGUAAACCCAAGGUUUCCAGGGGAAGGUUCGUCCGCCCUGGGUUAGUCGGGACCUAAGCUGAGGCCGAAAGGCGUAGGUGAUGGACAACAGGUUGAUAUUCCUGUAC
rnacentral:rRNA from 1 species